AUAGCUCAGUUGGGAGAGCGCUUGAAUGGCAUUCAAGAGGUCAUGGGUUCGAAUCCCAUUAUCUCCA
rnacentral:tRNA from 1 species